rnacentral:rRNA from 1 species
UACGAAGGGGGCUAGCGUUGCUCGGAAUCACUGGGCGUAAAGGGUGCGUAGGCGGCGUGGUAAGUCGGAUGUGAAAUCUCGGAGCUUAACUCCGAAACUGCAUUUGAUACUGCGGUGCUUGAGGACUGGAGAGGAGACUGGAAUUCACGGUGUAGCAGUGAAAUGCGUAGAUAUCGUGAGGAAGACCAGUGGCGAAGGCGGGUCCCUGGACAGUUCCUGACACUGAGGCACGAAGGCCAGGGGAGCAAACGGG